GGAGUGUUGGCCGAGUAGGUCGAAGGCGCUCGCCUGCUAAGCGAGUAUACGACUACAAUCGUAUCGAGAGUUCGAAUCUCUCACACUCCG
rfam:Firmicutes bacterium MLFW-2 MLFW-2_Contig_6_85X, whole genome shotgun sequence.